rnacentral:piRNA from 1 species
UCCUACCACAAGCAAUGGUUGUUGCCUGAU